CUCAAAGGAAUUGACGGGGACCCGCACAAGCGGUGGAUGAUGUGGUUUAAUUCGAUGCAACGCGAAAAACCUUACCUACCCUUGACAUGCCUGGAAUCCUGCAGAGAUGUGGGAGUGCCCGAAAGGGAGCCGGGACACAGGUGCUGCAUGGCUGUCGUCAGCUCGUGUCGUGAGAUGUUGGGUUAAGUCCCGCAACGAGCGCAACCCUUGCCAUUAGUUGCUACGAAAGGGCACUCUAAUAGGACUGCCGGUGACAAACCGGAGGAAGGUGGGGAUGACGUCAAGUCCUCAUGGCCCUUAUGGGUAGGGCUACACACGUCAUACAAUGGCUGGUACAGAGGGUUGCCAACCCGCGAGGGGGAGCUAAUCCCAUAAAACCAGUCGUAGUCCGGAUCGCAGUCUGCAACUCGACUGCGUGAAGUCGGAAUCGCUAGUAAUCGCGGAUCAGCAUGUCGCGGUGAAUACGUUCCCGGGUCUUGUACACACCGCCCGUCACACCA
rnacentral:rRNA from 1 species